CCAUCUUCUCUCAUGUCAUACCCUUCCAAACAACCAACCAUUAAUUUUCCUCCUAAAUUUACUACUAGUACUAAGAAGUCACAUUAUGUUUUGACAGAAAAUGCGCAGAGACUACAACUUGUAGUUUCUUCCACUACACAUUAACCUUUUUCAUAUCUUUACCCAACCAAUAUCACCCCUUCAAAGUAAAGAAGAAGAAAAACUGAAGAAGAAAAGGAGGUAGAAUCACAUCAAAAGCAAAAUAUGGUGAAGCCUAUGGCUGCAACAAGAGGCUAUGGAAUGAAAGAAUGGCCGUGUUCCUGGGAAAGCAAAUGAAGGAAGGGGACAUUUCUUCAUUUCAGCUUUGGGUUUCUACAUUUUGCAGUAAACGGUGAUGCAUCUAAUCCUGUAGGAUUUCGGUCAGUGAUGCUUUAAAUUUUGGGGGACCCUUGAGGUAAAGACCACAGUGCCUUCACCAUCCCAACACUGUUUUAUUACCGUUUCAAAUUUAAUGUCAGUCUUUGCUUUUGUUUCUUUUACAAAAUGUAUUCAUUUUUCUU